rnacentral:rRNA from 1 species
UCCGCCAGGGGACUACAAGCACAGCUUGAAACCCAAAGGACUUGGCGGUGCCUCAGACCCACCUAGAGGAGCCUGUUCUAGAACCGAUAACCCCCGUUAAACCUCACCACCUCUUGUUUUCCCCGCCUAUAUACCGCCGUCGUCAGCUUACCCUAUGAAGGCCCAACAGUAAGCAAAAUGGGUCUCACCCAAAACGUCAGGUCGAGGUGUAGCGCACGAGGUGGGAAGAAAUGGGCUACAUUUUCUACUCACAGAACACCACGAACAGUGCCCUGAAACAUGGCACUCGAAGGAGGAUUUAGUAGUAAAAGCAAA